AGCAGCCGCGGUAAUUCCAGCUCCAAUAGCGUAUAUUAAAGUUGCUGCAGUUAAAAAGCUCGUAGUUGAAUUUCGGGACUAAUAUGUUGGUCGUGCCUCGGUACGUACUGAUAUUUUUGGUUUCUCCCUUCUGACGAACCUUGAUGUCAUUAAUUUGGUGUCUUGGGAAAUCAGGACUGUUACUUUGAAAAAAUUAGAGUGUUUAAAGCAGGCUCACGCUUGAAUACAUUAGCAUGGAAUAAUGAAAUAGGACGUUUGAUUCUAUUUUGUUGGUUUCUAGGAUUGACGUAAUGAUUAAUAGGGAUAGUUGGGGGCAUUAGUAUUCAAUUGUCAGAGGUGAAAUUCUCGGAUUUAUUGAAGACUAACUACUGCGAAAGCAUUUGCCAAGGAUGUUUUCAUUAAUCAAGAACGAAAGUUAGGGGAUCGAAGACGAUCAGAUACCGUCGUAGU
rnacentral:rRNA from 1 species